GUCUAUGGCCAUGCUACCCUGAACAAGCCCGAUCCCAUCCGAUCUUGGAAGCUAAGAGGGUCAGGCCUGGUUAGUACAUGGAUGGGAGACCACCUAGGAAGACCAGGUGUUGUAGGCA
rnacentral:rRNA from 1 species